rnacentral:rRNA from 1 species
GAUGAACGCUGGCGGCGUGCCUAAUACAUGCAAGUCGAGCGAACAGACGAGGAGCUUGCUCCUCUGACGUUAGCGGCGGACGGGUGAGUAACACGUGGAUAACCUACCUAUAAGACUGGGAUAACUUCGGGAAACCGGAGCUAAUACCGGAUAAUAUAUUGAACCGCAUGGUUCAAUAGUGAAAGACGGUUUUGCUGUCACUUAUAGAUGGAUCCGCGCCGCAUUAGCUAGUUGGUAAGGUAACGGCUUACCAAGGCAACGAUGCGUAGCCGACCUGAGAGGGUGAUCGGCCACACUGGAACUGAGACACGGUCAAGACUCCUACGGGAGGCAGCAGUAGGGAAUCUUCCGCAAUGGGCGAAAGCCUGACGGAGCAACGCCGCGUGAGUGAUGAAGGUCUUCGGAUCGUAAAAAUCUGUUAUUAGGGAAGAACAAAUGUGUAAGUAACUAUGCACGUCUUGACGGUACCUAAUCAGAAAGCCACGGCUGACUACGUG